GCCGGUGUAGCUCAGAUGGUAGAGCGGGUCAUUCGUAAUGACUAGGUCGGGGGUUCGAGUCCCUUCUCCGGCACCA
rnacentral:tRNA from 1 species